rnacentral:rRNA from 1 species
UACGGAGGGGGUUAGCGUUGUUCGGAAUUACUGGGCGUAAAGCGCACGUAGGCGGAUUGACAAGUUGGGGGUGAAAUCCCGGGGCUCAACCCCGGAACUGCCUCCAAAACUGUCAGUCUUGAGUUCGAGAGAGGUGAGUGGAAUUCCGAGUGUAGAGGUGAAAUUCGUAGAUAUUCGGAGGAACACCAGUGGCGAAGGCGGCUCACUGGCUCGUUUCUGACGCUCAGGCGCGAUAGCGUGGGGAUCAAACAGG